rnacentral:rRNA from 1 species
UACGUAGGUGGCAAGCGUUGUCCGGAAUUAUUGGGCGUAAAGCGCGCGCAGGCGGUCCUUUAAGUCUGAUGUGAAAGCCCACGGCUCAACCGUGGAGGGUCAUUGGAAACUGGGGGACUUGAGUGCAGGAGAGAAGAGUGGAAUUCCACGUGUAGCGGUGAAAUGCGUAGAUAUUGGGAGGAACACCAGUGGCGAAGGCGGCUCACUGGACCGGUUCUGACGCUGAGGCGCGAAAGCGUGGGGAGCAAACGGG